GAUGAACGCUGGCGGUAUGCUUAACACAUGCAAGUCGAACGGACUCUUCGGAGUUAGUGGCGGACGGGUGAGUAACGCGUGAGAAUCCGGCUUUGGGUUCGGGACAACCACUGGAAACGGUGGCUAAUACCGGAUGUGCCGAGAGGUAAAAGAGAAAUUGCCUGAAGAUGAGCUCGCGUCUGAUUAGCUAGUUGGUGAGGUAAAGGCUCACCAAGGCAGCGAUCAGUAGCUGGUCUGAGAGGAUGACCAGCCACACUGGGACUGAGACACGGCCCAGACUCCUACGGGAGGCAGCAGUGGGGAAUUUUCCGCAAUGGGCGAAAGCCUGACGGAGCAAUACCGCGUGAGGGAAGAAGGCUCUUGGGUUGUAAACCUCUUUUCUUAGGGAAGAACAAAAUGACGGUACCUAAGGAAUCAGCAUCGGCUAACUCCGUG
rnacentral:rRNA from 1 species